rnacentral:rRNA from 1 species
UUCUAAAAGAAUUAAUUUUUAGUAAGACCUGCUCAAUGAAAUUUAAAUAGCCGCAGAACAACUGUGCUAAGGUAGCAUAAUAAAUAGCCUUAUAAUUAAAGGCUGGUAUGAAAGGUUUAACAUGUAAUUUUCUUUAUUAAAUUGUUUAUUCUGAAAUUAACUUAUAAGUAAAAAGGCUUAUAUAUCAAGAGGGACGACAAGACCCUGACAAACUUUACAUUAUUGUUUUGCUGGGGCGGCAAAAAAUUUACAACCUUUCUAUAAUCUUUCUUAUAUAACCUUUAUAGAAAUCAAACCAAGUUACUGCAGGGAUAACAGCAUAAUCAUUUCUAAGAGCCCGUAUUUAAGAAAUAGAUUGUGACCUCGAUGUUGAAUAGUAUUUCUUAUUAGAGCAGCAUCUUACUAAGAGAGUCUGUUCGACUUUUAAUUUGCUACA